CGUUGCAGGGUAGCUGAACGGGGGCAGUGGCUGCGUCCUCUGUCAGAGUGCCGCAGGACCAGCUUGGACUCCUGACGAGGAAGGGCUGCACGCGGAAGAUGAGGGAAUUUGAAGAUGCGCAGGACAAGAGAGACCCAACGGCCCAUUACCCCUCUCCACCAUCAGUUCCUAUGUACGCUCUAUGGGUAAACCACCCACCCUGCUGCCCCGAGGCCUGUCCCUAGUACCCUCAUCCGACAGAGCACUCCUCCCCAGCCUGCCACUGCUGCUCCCCCUUGGACAGAUCCUGAGGUAAGAUUUCACUGUUAACACACAGCACUCACUUUGUGUGUUAAAUAUUUCACUGUGAACCCAUAGGAGACACAUCAUUUGGUAAAUUUAGCAUUAACACAAGUCUUGUUAUAGAACCGUCUUUUUGUUUCUGCAUGGAAAGAAACACUAAAAUCCAGAUUUUUCCUGUUGAAAUGAGUGUAGAGGGAUGUCCAGACUGCUGGGUUGUUAGCAUUGUUACUUUUUGUUUGUAAACCUGUAAUAAAAUGUAAUUAUUAUUUGUGAAUCUUUAAUUAAAAUGCAGAUGUUUUCAUAAAAA